rnacentral:hammerhead_ribozyme from 1 species
AUCCAGCUGACGAGUCUCAAAAUAGGACGAAACGCGCGUCCUGGAU